AGGCCCUCACGGCUUUAAAAUGCGUCACUUGGAACGAUACAGAGAAGAUUAGCAUAGCCCCUACGCAAGGAAGACACGCACAAAUCGAGAAAUAGCCCAAAGCGGA
rnacentral:snRNA from 1 species